AGCACUUGGAAACUGUAAUCAAGUCUCGCAUCCCAGGCCUCCAGUCGCUAAUUAAUAAAAGUAUUGCUGAACUAGAGGCGAAAUUCAGUCGUUUUGGCAAGCCUUUUUCUUCUGAUGCUGGAGGUAAAUUGUACUCAAUUAUGGAGAUUUGUCGUCUUUAUGAUGGAAUUUUCAAAGAACAUCUUGACGGCAUGUAUGUAGCUGGUAGAUUGGAAUGUAGCUGGUGUUACUUUCUGGUAGAUUGGAAUGAACGAUGUUCUUUGUCGUAUGUGAACCAGGGACAAACACAUGGAUGCUCUACUUGAUAUAAAUCAUGAAGUAUUGGCUAAGUUCAUCGUCAUCGGAGGUGCUUAUCGUUUUAUUGUUUAAAAUGUUGUUGUUAGAACUUACUAGCUAGC